UACGAGGGGGGCAAGCGUUGUUCGGAAUUAUUGGGUGUAAAGGGUGCGUAGGCGGUUUGGUAAGUCUUAUGUGAAAUCUACAGGCUCAACUUGUAGUCUGCAUGAGAAACUGCCGGGCUUGAGUAUGGGAGAGGUGAGUGGAAUUCCUGGUGUAGCGGUGAAAUGCGUAGAUAUCAGGAGGAACACCUGUGGCGAAAGCGGCGCACUGGACCACAACUGACGCUGAGGCGCGAAAGCUAGGGGAGCAAACAGG
rnacentral:rRNA from 1 species